AAUGAAGCAUUCCAUCUUUUUCUAAAAUUGGAAUGAUACAGAGAAGAUUAGCAUGGCCCCUGUGCUAGGAUGACAGGGAAAUUCAUGAAGUGCUCCCUAAGUUU
rnacentral:snRNA from 1 species